UCCAGACAGAACCUCAUCUAAAAAUAAAUUCAGUGAUAAGAACUUAUUUGCUAUUUUGUUCCUAAUGAACAACAACAACAACAAGAAGACACCCAAACCAAUAUUUACAUCUAUGACACUUUUGCCUCCUUUGGGCUUCUGGAUUGUGUGUCUUCAUAGACAUCUCUGGACCUGGAAGCUAUAACUAUAACUGGAAGCCAUCCUAUAACUUGAUGAAGACAGAAGAGGGAAGGGAAGGUGCCCGAGAUGAAGAUACACUGAGGUUAAAUAUUCACCAGCUUACUUGAAUGAUGAUAUUUAAAAGAUGAACAUAGAAAAAAUUGAGACAAUAUUGACUACUCCAG
rnacentral:lncRNA from 1 species